rnacentral:pre_miRNA from 1 species
AGAGUGGAGUGCAGCCAAGAAUGACUUGCCGUCGUAGAGCAACAGAUGGGUUUUCCUGAAUGACCUGUCGCCGGCAGGUUGUUCUUGGCUACAUUUUGCUCUCU